GUGGCCUAGUGGUUAGAGCGCCCACCUCGAAUGCGGGAGGUUGAUGGUUCAACCCCUGUUAAGUCA